rnacentral:rRNA from 1 species
UACGUAGGGUGCGAGCGUUGUCCGGAUUUACUGGGCGUAAAGAGCGCGCAGGCGGUCGUUCAAGUCGCGUGUGAAAGCCCCCGGCUCAACUGGGGAGGGUCACGCGAUACUGAUCGACUCGAAGGCAGGAGAGGGUAGUGGAAUUCCCGGUGUAGUGGUGAAAUGCGUAGAUAUCGGGAGGAACACCAGUGGCGAAGGCGGGUCUCUGGACAGUUCCUGACGCUGAGGCACGAAGGCCAGGGGAGCAAACGGG